AUUGAACGCUGGCGGCAGGCCUAACACAUGCAAGUCGAACGAGUGGCGGACGGGUGAGUAAUGUCUGGGAAACUGCCUGAUGGUGGGGGAUAACUACUGGAACCGGUAGCUAAUACCGCAUACCAUCAGAUGUGCCCAGACGGGAUUAGCCAGUAGGUGGGGUAAAGGCUCACCUAGGCGACGAUCCCUAGCUGGUCUGAGAGGAUGACCAGCCACACUGGAACUGGGACACGGUCCAUACUCCGACGGGAGGCAGCAGUGGGGAAUAUUGCACAAUGGGCGCAAGUCUGAUGCAGCCAGGCCGCGUGUAUGAAGAAGGCCUUCGGGUUGUAAAGUACUUUCAGCGGGGGGGCGUUACCCGCAGAAGAAGCACCGGCUAACUCCGUGCCAGCAGCCGCGGUAAUUC
rnacentral:rRNA from 1 species